CCUCGGCCUCCCAGAGUGCUAGGAUUACAGGCGUGAGCCACCACACCCGGCCAUUUUAGACUGUGGUGUCACAAAGGCAUUAUUGGGCAGAGCUUCCUCGUAAUUUAUAAAGAAUUGGCAGGAAAGUUUGCUUUGGAGGAGGCAGUCAGGGUAGACUUCCCUAAGGCGUUGCAUCCAGCAGGGAACACUGACUAGGAUAAGAUGAUGAAAAAUUAUUCUAAGACAAUAAGUAGCUGUUUUAAAAACACAAAUAGCUCAGAGGUAGUUAAAAUGAGAAUAGUGCCCUCUUCUCCCUCCCCUUAAAUGGGAUAAAUGAAUUCUAAUAAAGUAACUGUCACUCAGUGGCUAUUCCUGGGUAGUGACAACCUUCUCUGCCUAGGGCUCCUACCACUUCAGUUUGGCAGACACUUACCGCCCUGUCAGGGUAGGCUCUGAGUGAGGUUCUAUUUCCGGCCGGGCACACCCUGUCUCGAGCAGGAGUCUCCCAGUCCCAGUCGGGAUCUGCUGGUGCUGGUGCACGAGCUGCAGCUGUUGUCCAGCCUGGCCUAUUGUGCAGCUAAAAAGGCCGCCUUGGGUGGUGGACUUUUCCCCAUUUUUCUACCCCUCCAGAUAGGUUAGAUCUGCUGGCACGUUAAAAAUCAGCUGGGGCAGCUCAUUCCUGGAGAGGAACUGGUAGGUAGGUAGAUGUGAGAAUUAUAUUGAUUAUUUGGUGUGGAUCAAUAGUUUUGUUCUCUCUGGCUUUACAGAAAAACUCUUAAGAGUUUUAAAUGUUCUCAAAAUCCCUAAGGACCUGAGUCACCAGGGCAGACAUCUAAAUAAAAUACUAACUGCACACAUAUUUUAUAAACUGAAAAUGCUGGGGGUCACUGUGUCUUCUCCCCACCUGCUAGUGUUCUCUGUAGCUAUUUCUCUGCUGCUUUCCUCUCUCUCAGAAUAGGGGCAGUGUGGUGAGAGCUGGAAAGGACCCGAAGGUCCCCAGCCAGGAACAUGUAUGUAUGGCAGGAUCCUGACCCAUGAGUAACCCCAACCAGGCCCAGGGGUAGAUAGAUACUAGUGGAGAAGCGAUAACUGCUUUUUCUGAGCCCUGCCCAUUCACUUGUAAGAUAUGGUUCUCCUUUGGAGAAAUGUUCCUCUGACAUCAGGUUUCUGUGUGAAGGCUUGUGACACUGUGGUCCUCUCCGUCCCAUGACAGAGCACCCUGGGCCCUCUCUCUCCAGGCCAUGGCUCUAGCUUAGGCCUGUCCAGAUUGAAAGGCCCCCAUUUGAUGAUUUGAGGCCAGGCAGAAACUCACCUGGGUUUAGACAGAAACAGACACACUAUUCAAAUGGGGUGGACCACAGCUCACUCUCUGUGGUCACUCUGUAGUCACAGUUAACACUCUGGAGUCUCAGAUGGAGCCCUGGUGAUUCCUGUGGGUCUCCCUCAAAACUCACCCGGCUGGAGGCUGGAUGAGUGUGAGAAGAAAUGCUCAGCAAAAUUGAAAAUCUUCUGCCAGCUGAAAAAAAUGUUAGGUCUGGAAACCAAUGUUGAAUAAGAGGUGGGGUGGUCAAGACAUGUUUUAGGUCAAGGAAUUUGGCCGGUGCUAGGAUUGCAGGUGUGAGCCCAGCCUGAUUUAACUCUUAAAAGAGGUGAUUUGAGGUAAGGUGACCGUCCACCCAUUCUUGGGGUCUUUACUACUUUUGGAUUUCCAUCUCCUAGACCUGUACUGCUGAGGCUGUUUGAAACAUUCUGUCUAAAUAUAUUUUGUCUCCAUGGAGCCAGCAGGGAGGCUGCUGUUACCUGGUGACCUCCUCCCUGGGCAGCCGCAGAGCCGCCGGCGCCAGGCCGCCUUCUCCUGAUCUGUGGGGGAGCAGGCGUGGAGCAGGCGCAGCGGCGCAGCCCGGCAGUGGUCCGGCAGCUAAGGCAGGCAUGUUUACGGCCUUGUGUCCGUCCAGCCUCUGCUGAGGUUGGAGCAGGGACUUUUAUCCUGCUGGGUAAAUAUGGAAGUGUGGCGCCCCUCCCCCGAGCGUCUCCAGUGCAGCCUGUAGGUGGGUGGCGGAGCUGGAAUCCAGAUCUCCCAUCCGUUGGGCUGGGCAGUGUUGCGGCCUCUGUGGUCUCCGCUGACCAGGGAGAAAGAAACGAGGUCACCUGGACCGCCUCAUUGUCAUUUGGCUGUUUAUAAUCUUUGACAGGUGCCUUUGAGUUAUCUAUUAGGGACCAAUCUAGAAGGAUUUCUUAGUACCAACCCUAGUACUAGAAAUUGUUUUGUGGCUGUGUGUAGAGAAGAGAGAGAGGCUGUGGCAGCUCAGAACAGGAGUGGGACUCACCCUAAUUAAAAUGCUCUGAGUCAGGCGUUUCUUGGCUUGCUGGAGUGUGCCACCCACAUUUCCCCGAAGCCAUGGGGCCUGGCGCAGUCUUAAGAUGGCCUUUCUUCCCAGAGCACUCGGGGAGCACCGUGCUCCUGGCUUUGGGAGAGUCUGGAAUGUGCAGAGCCAGUUCUUCCCGGGCCUGGGCACACCCAGAAAAUCAGGAGCAGGGACAGAAGAGCAGCUCAGCUGGUGCAGAGUGUGGCCUGGAAGCAUGCUUUCAGACGGAGGCCUCAGAGGUCACGGACUUUAGGGAAAUCAUGACAUUUAAAAAAAAAUUGCUUUAAGUCCUAAUCCCUCUCUUCAUUCUCAGCUGAUCUUGCUUAUUGUUAAAUUUUCUUCUGUUGAGACUUUUUUGGUCUUCCCACCAUCAAGCAUACUGACCCACCUGCGCCUGGGCGUCCACCUGUGGCCACCCUCCCUGGGGCAGUGCAGCCCGUCCUGUCUUUCCAGUUCCCUGACUUUGCUCCUUAGCUCCACCCAUUUUCCUGCCUCCCUUUUGGCAAAACUGGUCACAGGGGUUUUCUGUGUUUGCUGUCUCCUUCCUUCUUUCCUUCCCUCCCCCCUCUCUCCUUUUCCCUCCUUUUUUCUUCUUGCUCUCCGUCUCCCCUACCCUUUU